rnacentral:rRNA from 1 species
GACGUAGGGCGCGAGCGUUGUCCGGAAUUAUUGGGCGUAAAGAGCUCGUAGGCGGUCUGUCGCGUCGGCUGUGAAAUCCCGAGGCUCAACCUCGGGUCUGCAGUCGAUACGGGCAAACUAGAGUAUUGCAGGGGAGACUGGAAUUCCUGGUGUAGCGGUGAAAUGCGCAGAUAUCAGGAGGAACACCGGUGGCGAAGGCGGGUCUCUGGGCAAUAACUGACGCUGAGGAGCGAAAGCGUGGGAAGCGAACAGG